rnacentral:rRNA from 1 species
GAUGAACGCUGGCGGCGUGCUUAACACAUGCAAGUCGAACGAUGAAGCCCAGCUUGCUGGGUGGAUUAGUGGCGAACGGGUGAGUAACACGUGAGUAACCUGCCCUUGACUCUGGGAUAAGCCUGGGAAACUGGGUCUAGUACUGGAUAUGACUUCUCAUCGCAUGGUGGGGGGUGGAAAGAUUUAUUGGUCUUGGAUGGACUCGCGGCCUAUCAGCUUGUUGGUGAGGUAAUGGCUCACCAAGGCGACGACGGGUAGCCGGCCUGAGAGGGUGACCGGCCACACUGGGACUGAGACACGGCCCAGACUCCUACGGGAGGCAGCAGUGGGGAAUAUUGCACAAUGGGCGCAAGCCUGAUGCAGCGACGCCGCGUGAGGGAUGACGGCCUUCGGGUUGUAAACCUCUUUCAGUAGGGAAGAAGCGAGAGUGACGGUACCUGCAGAAGAAGCGCCGGCUAACUACGUG